GACGAACGCUGGCGGCGUGCUUAACACAUGCAAGUCGAGCGGAAAGGCCACUUCGGUGGUACUCGAGCGGCGAACGGGUGAGUAACACGUGAGUAAUCUGCCCUUGGCUUUGGGAUAGCCACCGGAAACGGUGAUUAAUACCGGAUACGACAACUUCUCGCAUGGGAUGGUUGUGGAAAGUUUUUCGGCCAGGGAUGUGCUCGCGGCCUAUCAGCUUGAUGGUGAGGUAAUGGCUCACCAUGGCUUCGACGGGUAGCCGGCCUGAGAGGGUGACCGGUCACACUGGGACUGAGACACGGCCCAGACUCCUACGGGAGGCAGCAGUGGGGAAUAUUGGACAAUGGGCGGAAGCCUGAUCCAGCAACGCCGCGUGAGGGAUGACGGCCUUCGGGUUGUAAACCUCUUUCGCCUGUGACGAAGCGCAAGUGACGGUAACAGGUAAAGAAGCACCGGCCAACUACGUGCCAGCCGCCGCGGUAACAC
rnacentral:rRNA from 1 species